rnacentral:rRNA from 1 species
GACGAACGCUGGCGGCGCGCCUAACACAUGCAAGUCGAACGAGCAAAGAGGAGCUUGCUUCUCUGAGCGAGUGGCGAACGGGUGAGUAACGCGUGAGGAACCUGCCUCAAAGAGGGGGACAACAGUUGGAAACGACUGCUAAUACCGCAUAAGCCCACGGGUCGGCAUCGACCAGAGGGAAAAGGAGCAAUCCGCUUUGAGAUGGCCUCGCGUCCGAUUAGCUAGUUGGUGAGGUAAUGGCCCACCAAGGCGACGAUCGGUAGCCGGACUGAGAGGUUGAACGGCCACAUUGGGACUGAGACACGGCCCAAACUCCUACGGGAGGCAGCAGUGGGGAAUAUUGCACAAUGGGGGAAACCCUGAUGCAGCGACGCCGCGUGAGUGAAGAAGUAUUUCGGUAUGUAAAGCUCUAUCAGCAGGGAAGAUAAUGACGGUACCUGACUAAGAAGCCCCGGCUAACUACGUG